rnacentral:tRNA from 1 species
GGCUAGUUAGUAUAGUAGUAUUAUCCUAGCUUAUUAUCGGCUUAUAGGAGUAGUUAAUUUAUACUCUUCUAUUCUUGCGACUACGUACUAGAGGUUAUAGGUUCGAUUCCUAUACUAGCCG